GCCUCAGCUUCCCAAAGUGCUGGGAUUAUAGGCAUGAGCCACCGCAUCCGGCAUCCAUCAGUUUAGAAAGUUUAUUUCACCAAGGUUAAGGUUGCGCCCAUGGCAGCCCCAGAAGGCCCUGACAACAUGUGCCCUAGGUGGUCAGGGUACAGUUUGCUUUUGUACAUGUUAGGGAGACAUGAGACAUCAAUCAGUAUGUGUAAUAUGUACUUUAGUCAGGUAAAGCUGAACUUGAGGCAAGGGCUUCCAGGUCAUGAGUAGAUAAGAGGCAAAAGAUUGCAUUCUUUUGAGUCCUUGUUCAGCCUUCCACUGAAUACACAAUUUAGGCUGGCUCAGUGAAUCAUCAUUUUUACAUAAACAGUAGGGGAGGGGAAACAAUCAUAUAUGCAUUUGUCUCAGGUGCACCUUAGAGGGAUAACUUUUGAGUUCUGUCCGUCCUUUUUCCACAAGGAAUUUCCUUGUAUGCAAAUUUUAAGGGAGGUAUGUAGCCUCUUAUCUUGGUAGCUAUAUCUUAUUUAGGAAUAGAAUGGGAGGCAGGUUUGUCUGACAUAGUUCCCAGCUUGACUUUACCCUUUUAAGGGAGGAGAUCACCCCUCAUAUUGUCUUAUGCCCAGUUUCUGCCUCCAAAGAAAGAAGAAGUAAAAGCUAAAAGGCAGAAAUGAAAUCCACAAGCAGACAGCUGAACGCCACACCCUGGGCCUGGUAGUCAAAGAUCGACCCCUGACCUAAUCAGUUAUGUUAUCUAUAGAUUACAGACAUUGUAUAGAAAAGCACUGUGAAAAUUCCUAUCCUAUUUUGCUCCAAUUUAAUUACCAGUGCAUGCAGCCCCCAGUCACGUAUCCCCUGCUUGUUCAAUCGAUCACGACCCUGUCAUGUGCACCCCCUUAGAGUCAUGAGCCCUUAAGAGGGACAGGAAUUGCUCACUUGGGGAGCUCGCCUCUUGAGACAGGAGUCUUGCCAAUGCGCCCAGCCAAAUAAACCCCUUCCUUCUUUAACUCGGUGUCUGAGGAGUUUUGUCUGCGACUUGUGGAACAUCCCUGUGGGGGACCCCGACCAGCCCGAGUGACGUGGAUCCUGAGAGCGCUCCCAAGUAGGCAUUUGCCCCGGUGGGACACCUCGCCAGAGCAGUGUGUGUCAGGCCCCCAUGGAGAAUCAAUGCAGGAGCUGAACACCGGGAAGGAACGGGCACUUGGAGGCUGGACAUCUAAAACUUGCCACCAUGUAAGAAGUGCCUUUCACCUCUCACCGUGAUUCUGAGGCCUCCCCAGCCAUGUGGAGCUCCAGGUGUGGUGGCGCAUGCCUGUAGUUCCAGACUCAACAGGCUGAUGCAGAAAGAUCAUUUGAGACAAGGAGGUUAAGGCUGCAGUGAGCUGUGAUUGCACCACUGUACUCCAGGCUGGAUGACAGAGAAAUGCUUCAUUUUGAAAAAAAAAAAGAAAAAAGUAAGUCUUCUAAUCCAUGAGGAUGAAAUGUCUUUCCAUUAAUUUUGAUCUUCUUUAUUUUUUAAGCAAUGUUCUGUAAUUUUCAAUGUGUAAAUCUUUCACUUAUUUUGUUUAUUCCUAUUUUAUCACUUGUAAUGCUGUUGUUAAUGGAAUUUUCUUAACUUUUAGAUUGUUCAUUGCUACUGUUUAGAAAUACAAUUAUUUUUCUGUGCAGGUAUUGUAUACUAAAACCAUGCUGAACUCAUUUAUUAACUCUGAUAAGGUAUUUUUAUGAAUUCCUUAGGUUUUUCUACAUAUAAGUGCAUAUUAUCUGUGAAUAGAGAUACUUUAACUUCUUUCAUUACAAUCUCAUGUCAUUUAUUUUCUUGCCUAACUGUCCUGGGUCAAAACUAUAGUACAGUGUUAAAUAGAUGAUGUGAAAAUAGACAUUCUUGUUUUCUUGUUGAUCUCGGGGUAAAUCAUUGUCUUUAACCAUUAAGUAUGAUGUUAACUGUGAGUUUUCGCAGAUGUUCUCUACGUAGGAUGAGGAAGUCUCUUUCUGUUCCUAGUUUGUUGAGUGUUUUUCAUCAUAAAGGGUGUUAUAUUUUGUCAAAUACUCUUUUUGUAUCUAUUGACAUGAUCAUACGGCUUUUGUCCAUUUAAUAUUGUUUAUUACAUUGACUGAUUUUGGAAUGUUAAAACAACCUUGAAUUCCUGUGAUAAAUCUCCCUGGUCAUGGUGUGUGGUCCUUUUUAUAUGUUGCUAGAUUUGGUUUGCUAGUAUUUUCUUGAGAAUUUUUGUGUCUCUAUUCAUAACAGGUAUUGUACUGUAGUUUUCUUUUUCUGUGAUGUCCUCUUCUGAUUUUGAUAUCAGGUGAAAACUGACCCCAUAGGAUAAAUUGGGAAGCAUUCCCUCUUAUUAUUUGGAAAAAUUUGUAAAUGUUUGAUUUUGAUUCUGUGAACACUUUGUAGAAUUCACCAGUGAAACCACCUGAGUCUGGACUUUUCUUUGUGAGAAUUUAAAAAUUACUAAUUCAA